UAUGGAUCAGCCGGAGGCCGCGCAGCAUCCGCUUGCCGAGCGGGUAAUCGUCGAGCUGGGGGAUCAUCAGUCCCCGUUCGUUGCC
rnacentral:tRNA from 1 species